UCGAGGACACCCAACGUAGUGCACACAACUCACAGCACAGCUCCUGCUGCCCCAUUUCCCUGUCACUCCUCUCAGAGGACAGCCUUAUUACUCCUCCACAUCUCCUUUUCAGCCAAAAGCUGUAACUCUGCUUGCUGUCUGCUUCACAGGAGUCUCUCUCACAAUGAAGUUCCUGCUGCUGUCCUGCAUUCUGAGCAUGGUCCUUGCUGUCACCAAUGCACAGCAACUUGACAGCAAUGAAAGCUCCGGUUCAGACAGCUCAGAACAGUACCCACAAGAAAGGACCAUUUUCUUUCCUUUGCAUUCCAUUCUUCGCCUCCUCCAGAAACGCCCCAAGCAUGCUUAGCCAUCUGUUUUGCUGUGAGUCUGAGGACAGCCAGCUUUAUCCUCAGCCACCAGCAGCUGCCCGGUCACCUGCUCACAGGGCUCUGUUUUCCAAAGCUGACGACACUGUUGGGGAUGUGCUUCACAUCAUGCAUCAAUCAAUAGACUAAAGCCACUAAUGCCAUUGGUUCUACUCUGCAAUUCCGUUCUCACUCUGUAGAUACCUAUCUGAACAACCAGGGCUGUCGCCUAUGAAAUACUGCUGCUUUCCGAUCGUCUUCUGCUUCCUUCAUGCCUUUUG